rnacentral:tRNA from 1 species
GGGGUUGUAUCUCAGUGGUAGAGCACUUGCCUCACAUGCAUGAGGCCCUGGGUUCAAUCCUCAGCACCA